rnacentral:rRNA from 1 species
CGAGGGGCAGCGGGGCGGCAGGCUUGCCUGCCGCCGCCGGCGACCGGCGCUCGGGUGAGUAACACGUAUGCAACCUGCCCGUGGCAGGGGGAUAAGCGGGGGAAACCCCGUCUAAUACCGCGUAACGCGGCCUAGGGACAUCCCAAGGCCGCCAAAGGGAGCAAUCCCGGCCACGGAUGGGCAUGCGGCGCAUUAGCUAGUCGGCGGGGUAACGGCCCACCGAGGCGACGAUGCGUAGGGGUUCUGAGAGGAAGGCCCCCCACACUGGUACUGAGACACGGACCAGACUCCUACGGGAGGCAGCAGUGAGGAAUAUUGGUCAAUGGGCGCGAGCCUGAACCAGCCAAGUCGCGUGAGGGAGGACGGCCCUACGGGUUGUAAACCUCUUUUGCCGGGGAGCAACGGGCGCCACGUGUGGCGCCACUGAGAGUACCCGGAGAAAAAGCAUCGGCUAACUCCGUGCCAGCAGCCGCGGUAAUACGGAGGAUGCGAGCGUUAUCCGGAUUUAUUGGGUUUAAAGGGUGCGUAGGCGGAUCGUUAAGUCAGUGGUCAAAUUGAGGGGCUCAACCCCUUCCCGCCAUUGAAACUGGCGAUCUUGAGUGGAAGAGAAGUAUGCGGAAUGCGUGGUGUAGCGGUGAAAUGCAUAGAUAUCACGCAGAACCCCGAUUGCGAAGGCAGCAUGCCGGCUUCCUACUGACGCUGAAGCACGAAAGCGUGGGGAUCGAACA